GGGUGUGACUGCGUACCUUUUGUAUAAUGGGUCAGCGACUUAUAUUCUGUAGCAAGGUUAACCGUAUAGGGGAGCCGUAGGGAAACCGAGUCUUAACCGGGCGUUAAGUUGCAGGGUAUAGACCCGAAACCCGGUGAUCUAGCCAUGGGCAGGUUGAAGGUUGGGUAACACUAACUGGAGGACCGAACCGACUAAUGUUGAAAAAUUAGCGGAUGACCUGUGGCUGGGGGUGAAAGGCCAAUCAAACCGGGAGAUAGCUGGUUCUCCCCGAAAGCUAUUUAGGUAGCGCCUCGUGAAUUCAUCUCCGGGGGUAGAGCACUGUUUCGGCUAGGGGGCCAUCCCGGCUUACCAACCCGAUGCAAACUGCGAAUACCGGAGAAUGUUAUCACGGGAGACACACGGCGGGUGCUAACGUCCGUCGUGAAGAGGGAAACAACCCAGACCGCCAGCUAAGGUCCCAAAGUCAUGGUUAAGUGGGAAACGAUGUGGGAAGGCCCAGACAGCCAGGAUGUUGGCUUAGAAGCAGCCAUCAUUUAAAG
rnacentral:rRNA from 1 species